rnacentral:rRNA from 1 species
UACGGAGGGUGCAAGCGUUAUCCGGAUUCACUGGGUUUAAAGGGUGCGUAGGAGGGCAGGUAAGUCAGUGGUGAAAUCUUCGAGCUUAACUCGGAACUGCCGUUGAUACUAUCUGUCUUGAAUACCGUGGAGAUGAGCGGAAUAUGUCAUGUAGCGGUGAAAUGCUUAGAUAUGACAUAGAACACCAAUUGCGAAGGCAGCUCGUUACACGAAUAUUGACUCUGAGGCACGAAAGCGUGGGGAGCAAACAGG